rnacentral:rRNA from 1 species
GGACUACAGGGGUUUCUAAUCCUGUUUGAUCCCCACGCUUUCGUGCCUCAGCGUCAAUAUAUGCUUAGUUAGCUGCCUUCGCAAUCGGUGUUCUAUAACAUAUUUAUGCAUUUCACCGCUACAUGUUAUAUUCCGCCAACCUCAACAUAAUUCAAGACUAAUAGUAUCCAAGGCAGUUCCGAAGUUGAGCUUCGGGAUUUCACCCCAGACUUAAAAGCCCGCCUACACACCCUUUAAACCCAGUAAAUCCGGAUAACGCUUGCACCCUCCGUAUUACCGCGGCUGCUGGCAC